rnacentral:rRNA from 1 species
UACGGAGGAUCCAAGCGUUAUCCGGAUUCAUUGGGUUUAAAGGGUGCGUAGGCGGAAUGAUAAGUCAGUGGUGAAAUCCUUCAGCUUAACUGGAGAACUGCCAUUGAUACUGUCAAUCUUGAGUACAUUUGAUGUGGGCGGAAUGUGUCAUGUAGCGGUGAAAUGCUUAGAUAUGACACAGAACACCGAUUGCGAAGGCAGCUCACAAAAACUGUAACUGACGCUGAGGCACGAAAGCGUGGGUAGUCAAACAGGA